UACGUAGGGACAAGCGUGUUCGGAUUUACUGGGCGUAAAGGGCGCGUAGCGGCGUAGACAAGUCACUUGUGAAAUCUCCGGGCUUAACCCGGAACGGCCAAGUGAUACUGUCGUGCUAGAGUGCAGAAGGGGCAAUCGGAAUUCUUGGUGUAGCGGUGAAAUGCGUAGAUAUCAAGAGGAACACCUGAGGUGAAGACGGGUUGCUGGGCUGACACUGACGCUGACAGCGCGAAAGCUAGGGGAGCAAACGGG
rnacentral:rRNA from 1 species